rnacentral:lncRNA from 10 species
GGUCAGGUUAAGAGAAAUAGUGCAGUUCCAACCCUGGGCAGCCCUAAGUAAGAGUCAUCAGAAGCUUCCAGGCAAUUGUCACUGAAAAAUAAGUGCUAUAGCACUACCUCAGCUGCUGCAACCACAGACCUCAUUCAGAAAUCUUUAUUGUAUUAACCCUUGUGUGUCCGGAAUUGGUGGGUUCUUGGUCUCACUGACUUCAAGAAUGAAGCCUGGGACACUCACGGAAGGCUAAAGCUCUAUAACCAUUGAAAGCUGGCUGGGGGAAAAGAAGAAGAGGCAAAAAGAUCAACUGAAGAAUAAACUGCUGUCAUUGGCACAAAAGAAUACCACAAAGAUUAUUUACAAAACUCGAAUCAGGAGUAGAACAGACCUCCAUGUGGAAGUUCAAUUAUGCUAAGAGGAAAGAGGAAAGGGGAAGAGUUUACAGAAAUAAAUUAAUGAUGAUGAUAAACUAUUUUCAAGCCCUUACAUUUUUUUUUUUUAUGGAGUUUCGCUCUGUCACCCAUGCUGGAGUGCAAUGGCAUGAUCUCAGCUCUCUGCAAUCUCCACCUCCCUGAUUCAA